CUUCAGGAGGCUGGUGCGCCGCUCUGCCUGGUAGGUGCCUCGCCACCCCCGGCCACGGCCCUGGUUUAGCAAAACCUCUCAGCAUACACCUCAGGAAGAUUUGAUAGUCGUGCAUGGUAAUCGCUGAGUGAACUUAUCUUUCUCUUUAACAACGUCUAAGAUGGGACUGGAGGCACAGCACGACUUGCAUUCAUUUCAGUUGGAAGGAGAACAAAACCAGAGGUGUUAGUGCCUGAAGAGAGGGAUGCUUAAAGGAGAUGAAAGAAGCAGGCAGCCACGAAUGAGUGCUGCUCAGCACUUGCUGCUUUAAGAAGGAGGAUUAAGGGGACAGGAUGGAGAAGCAUGACGGGGCCGAGGAGCAGGUGGUUAGAAGACAUACCUUCUGCUCACGGUGCAACAACCAGGACUUCCAAAUUUUCAGUUACACGGUUGCUGCCAAGGACAAAACAUCACGUAAGAUGGGAUUGAAAGAAAACCCUAUAUAAAAAAAAGCACAAGCAACUGUUUGUUUCAGACAGCUAAUAGGAUCGCAGUGUGUGUUGAAAGAUGCCACCUGGAGAUUGAGAAAGGAAGAAGAGCAAAGCCAUCUCCACUGUCUCAAGGAAAGCUACUGCUUCUCCAGCCUUGAAGACCUUCAGCAGCUUCCAGGCUUCACCUGGGAUUAAGAGUAUGAGGGGAUGAGGAUGGGGGAAGACGUGGGCAGCUCUGCAUGCUGGACAGCAACAAGAGGACAGAGCUGGGCUCUAGCUAACAGCAUAGAUAGACUCUUAAUUAUGAAACAUGAUUUUAAGGACAGCUGCUCUCUCUACAGGAGCGAAAACACUCUUGCAGUCUAGGUCACAACUGUAAAACAUCCUCUAAAGCAGGUCCCAUAGGUAGCUGUCACGUUGCAGCGGUGAAAGGGGAGUGAGCAUGUCCUGUGUUCCAGCCGCCCGUCUCACGCACUGAUGGCUUGUUUCGCAACCUCAAAUGCUUCUUGCUUGAAAGGUCAGGGUGCAUUACCAUAGCAGAACUACCGAUAUCCUUAUCUAGACUAUUUAGCUUGGCGAGCUGAGAAUUUACUACACUUGAAAGAACCCCUGGCUCUUAACAAAAAGAAAAAAAAAAAAGAAAGAAGAAUAAUAUCAAACUGAUCAGCACAGUCUCAGGAGAAGUCUAGUGGUCUAGUAAUCUUUAAGGAGAAUAAUCAGAUAAUCUGAAAAUAUCCCAUAUAGCAAAAUAGCCACAUUGCUUCUGUGGGAAAAUGAAUGAACUGUUAUUCCCCUGUGGAUAAUUUUCUGCUAGUUUGUAAAGAUUCUUGUUGCAUUAUUAGCUGUCUCUUGGGGUAACAUACUUUGCAGGUAUCUUUGCCAGAACCAGAAAGAAUUAACAGCACUAAUUUUCCCUCAUUAUUUAUAUUGCAAAGAAGAAUGAAGGGGAAGGGGAAAAAAAAGGGAUGACAGGAGAAGUCUUCCCUUUUUCUUUGCACUCAUGCAAAAAGUUUUUUUGAAUAGAAUUUAAAAUCUCAGUAAAAAGGAUUUAACUUUCUUGAAACACCUUUUAGAUGGGUUAGGAGAAAAAAACUGUUAUGUUCUCAUAAAGCAGAAGUGGGGGAAAGCCAAAAACAAGUAUUCCCACCUGAAAUGAAAGCAGCAGAACACUUGUGGAAAAUGAAUCAACAGCUGGAAUGCGCUAAUUGGGACAAAAAUAGCUAUUUUUGGUAUUUCUAUCAGAAGGGAAUGUUGCAAAUGUCCUGGCUGUGACAAAAAUGCCACUUUCAGGAGCAACGGGCUUAUUUUGGAUAUGUUUGCCUACACUUAGAAGUAUAGGCAAAAAAUGAGUACUCAGGAUGUCCACUGCCCUGCCAUAAUGUUCAUUAUAAACACAGCUCUUGGUAUAUACACAUAGCCAGAAGAAUACUCUAUGGUGCUUUAUUUAAAAAUACACGCUUUAAGUUGAAUAUCAUCGCAUCCACACAGGACAGAGACUUGUUUCUACCAGUCAAACUAGAAAAGAUCAGCAUGCUAAACUACUGGACUAUACCGUGUUAGCAUUUCCCAGUCUUGAUGUGUGGUAUGACUUCAUAUGAAUUAUCCAUCUGACCUGCUUUCCAAAACUAGUGAUUGGAUUUUGUCCUCUGCAAUUGUUCACUGAAAGUCUUGGCUGUCAAACAGUUUCAGUGGAUGGAAAUGUAAAAACCGAGAGUAUCUGGUCUUUUCCACCAUGCAAUACUCCAAUGGCCAGAAAAUUCUUUUGAGGAGAAGCUCCUCCUGGCUCCGGUGAUCACUUAGGUGAAGUCAACCCCAGUUCGCUCCCUUCGUGUGUGGCAACAAAGUGACGUGACAGGCAGGCAUGCAUAAUCACUUUUUGGAUGCUUGAGGCAAAACCAGACCAAAGCAGUGCAGUUCAACAAACUUGUAACAGGAUGGAGACCAUAAAUUAGCAGUACUAGCAACUACCAUUGGCUGUCUCAGACUUGGAAAAGGCUGUGUGAACUGAAUGCCCUGAUGAACCAAACUUGGUGUGAACCCCACAUGCACUGCAUCCCAGGUUAUCUUCUUUUCGAGGAAUGCAGGAUUCUUUCCACUUGUUGAAACGUUAUCAAUACAUCAGUAUCAGCAGACAGUUUUAAGUCGCAUGCAUUAAAGAAUGUGGCAGUUUCGCAGAAAUGUUAACUCUGAAAACACCCUAAGGCACCAUCUGUGAAAUUCUUGAAGAGGAUGGGUUUCUCUGCUAGCUGCCCAGCCAGGUAAAUACUGUUUGCGCGGAAUUGCUCAGCCUACUGCCAUUCCUUGUGUGGAGAUAACACAGUGAAAUGUCCCUCCUAGGUCUGUCUGGUCUUCAGGUUUCCCUUGCUCAUCUCCCAAAAAACUGGUAGGACCUGGAGUUCAAGGAAACACUUAAAACAACACUCACUAACACCUUAAAACUAGUGUCAGUGAAUCCAACUGUUUGACUCGUCUGUCUUAUCAGUUUGGCCCAGGUUUCCACAGGAAAGAGGGACUGCAAUGCAGAGUCCACCUUCCCACAGGAACCACAUAACUCCUUUUGGUAAACUGAGAAAGCUCCUCUCAAGAGCCACGUUCAGUCCACAGAGGUGUCCACCAGUGUCCUUGCUAAGCCAAGCUCCCUUGCACUCCUCUCAGAUGAGCUUGCUGUUGCUUUGCUCUCCUCAGUACUCCAACCCUUCUCUGGCCUUGCUCCAGUCAAAGUCCAUCUGUCUUGGAGCACACCUGGCAGCACACACCACACUCCUGAGGUCUCACUUGUGCAGUAUGUUCUAAUAUGUUCCUCUCCAUCAGAUACUCCCCUCCAUCUCAAAGUCACUGGGCGCAUCCCUUCUUAACAUGGAAGCAGUAUCAGGAGAUGACUAUGUGACUCCUUGGCUGUGCUGCAGUGCUCUUUGGUUGCAAAUGGGUGUUGAAGGGAGUUCACUGGGGCAAAGUGCAAGCCUCUGCGGAAGCUUGGCUUUGCUGCAGCUAUAGCAUGUCAUGGAUACUUAAUGUAUGAUAGCUCAUGGCUACAGUAUAAGCCAUACAUUGUUUGCAAGCAGAUCUACCUAGUGGCUCCUAAACACAGUGGUUAAAACACCUUGGAUAGAACCCUGAAUCUUCAUGCCAACUUUUGUACUAAUUUGCAGGGGCAGCUCUGCAAAUUGUGUUGGUGCUAGUACACCUCUUAUGCUGCCCUGUUGAUCUUUGCCCUAAGGAUUGUAGUUAUAGGUGUAGUUAUGUAGCCAGCAAAGUGAUUCCAGAGGCAUUUGUGGGGGUAAUAACAUUGUUGCUAAGUCAGCACAGUGUCUCUGCAGCACAUCAGAAAGGAAUACAUUUCCUGGCUCUGCUUUACAACGUAACUUUGCCUUGAGACUGUUUUGGAGAAGACAUUUCAUCCUUCAAAAGAAUACACAGUAGGGGCGACUCAGAUGUGAUAAAAGCAAGUCAGUGGCCAUGCUCUCACAGUCUUCAGGAUUUUAUUUCGCUGAUGCUGUCAAUGUGAGCAAGUUUAAGUGGGACAUAACCUCAGCAUGGGCUGUCAGCCUAGUUGCCACCCCCUCAAGAAGAUGUGGCAAGGCAAAAUGAUGUCACAGUCCUGAUGCAUUGGCUAAAACACAGACUAAGGAUUGCGACACUUGCUUGGUCUUUGUUUAAAACACAUAAAUGAAACAAAAAGCAGCAGGUGUAUUGGCUGAGUAUGUUUUUCCUCCAACACUGGUGCAGAAUCAAUCAGUUGUAUUGCUGGGACAGCUAAUGCAACAUUACCUUUUUUUUCCCUUUGUCUUUACCAAUGAAAUCAACAGCAUUCCUGUGCCAGGUGCCUAGACCGCACGCACAGCCAAGAAAAUCAAAUGGCAUCUUCAGCAGAUGGAGGCUGUUGUCACAGAAGAAAGUCACUAAAGAUGGACAACACGAAGAGGAGGAAAUGAGUACUGUGAUUCCUGACAGAUGAGAGUGCCCCAAGUAAGCCAUGUAUUCACAAUUUGAUUGCCAGCAAAUGGCCAACAGACCAUACCUGUAUUUUGUAUCAGAAAACUCACCAUUUUCUAAGCAUAGACAUUGACUGCUCAUCAUCCAAUAACUGGUAGUUCACUAUGCCUUAUUCACACAGAGACUUCAAACCCAUGGACAUUUUUACAAAGGAUGAUGAAUAACUGUGUAACAAACAGGCACUUUUUCAAAAGCACUGGGAUCACAUUCCUCUACUGGAAAGUUAUGACAAGCUGAUGCAAACAGUGCACUGCCUGACCCUUGCCCAACACAAACAAAUAGUUUGGCUUUCUGCUGUAAUCAGUCUCUGCUUGUGUAAAAUCAAGAGCUGCCUGAAAGACCUUAAGUGUCCAGAAACUCAAACCAAUCUUGAUCUCCUUGAAUGUCAGGACAGUAGAAAUACUUUACAUUAAUUUUCUGUCCUAUUUUUCUGGGCUAUUGAGCUCUGUCAGAAUCCCCGCGAGUUUAUACCAUUCCCUGUCCUACAGGAAAAGAAUAGCACAUGCAGAAUCAAGUCAGUGGUGCUGCAGAAAAAGUGCUAAAAUGACAAACUUGUACACUGCUUUUAUACCCCUAUCCAAAAGGACA